rnacentral:tRNA from 1 species
GGCCGGGAUAGCUCAGUUGGUAGAGCAGAGGACUGAAAAU